AUGGGGACAGCGAAUCCACUCAAUGCUGAGAACUUCAUAUAUACGAUAAUAAAGCGGCACAGUAAAUUUCACUCAGUAAAUACACGGAUCAUUCACCACCCGGAGAUGUAUGUGCCUCAGCUCCGGUUCCUGUUUCUGGUGUUACCGGUCGGUUUUACAGAUGUGGCGGCUGUGCUGAUCCAACAGACUCCCGCUUACAUAUCCGGUUACCCGGGCACCCCAGUCCGCAUCGAAUGCCUUUACACAGAAGCAAGUGCUGGCACCUAUUUCUACUGGUACCGAUGGCACCCUGACCGUGAGCCUGAGAAUCUUUUCUAUUCCAACAACUUUGGCAUGGUCACCCCUUCCGAUGAGGUGGACGGUUUCAGGGCGACAAGACCCAAGAACACCCACUUUUACCUGGAUUUCUCCGGCCUGCAGGCGAAUCACUCGGCUAUGUAUUAUUGCGCCUGGAGUAAACACAGCGACCCCAGAGCAGUCAGCGGAAAGGUUCUUAGAUCUGCCGCAAAGAUGGGAUUCAAUAUGUUCGUCUUUGGUAGUUUCCUACUAGUGUUACGAAACUUAAAACAUCUGUUCGCUGCUUCAUCAACUGAAAGGGGUUCCAACUAA